UCAUUUUCGGGAAUUAAAAUAAAUCGUUCAAGAAAAAAAUCCCACCACUUUUCUUACAGUAUGAUAGGCUGUCUUUGUAUGAAAUAUGAAGAAUUUUUUCAUGUGCCAACCUUUUUUAUUUUCGCUCGGUUUUAGUGGACAUUUCCUCUUAAGACCUUUACAAUGGGAACUUGUUCCCAGUAUCUCUUUAACACAAGGUUCUAUUGCAUUGUGGGAAAGUACUUUGUUGACAGUGUUGGAGUGGUUCUUGACAACGUACCGUUGAUUGUUGAUUCGAGGAUUGGCUAAGUUGAGCGUGAUGGCAAUUGGAGCUUGACCUUGAAGGGCCGAGUUCUAGAAUAUGACGGGAAUAUG